rnacentral:rRNA from 1 species
AGAACGAACGCUGGCGGCAUGCCUAACACAUGCAAGUCGAACGCUCUUGGGGCUUCGGUCUCAGGGGAGUGGCGCACGGGUGAGUAGCGCGUGGGAACCUGCCCUGUUGUGGGGGAUAACCGAGGGAAACUUCGGCUAAUACCGCAUAAGCCGGUUGUCUUGAAGGAGAUGGCCGGGAAAGAUUUAUCGCGACAGGAGGGGCCCGCGUCGGAUUAGCUAGUUGGUGGGGUAACGGCCCACCAAGGCGGUGAUCCGUAGCUGGUCUGAGAGGAUGAUCAGCCACACUGGGACUGAGACACGGCCCAGACUCCUACGGGAGGCAGCAGUUAGGAAUAUUGGACAAUGGGCGCAAGCCUGAUCCAGCCAUGCCGCGUGAGUGAUGAAGGCCUUCGGGUUGUAAAACUCUUUAGCCGAUGAAUAUAAUGACUGUAGUCGGAGAAUAACGCCCGGCUAACUUCGCGCCAGCAGCCGC